GUCUUGGGUCUGGCCAUGCCUGAGCCUGCAAAGUCCACGCCGGCUCCCAAGAAGGGCUCCAAGAAAGCCAUCACCAAAGCCUAGAAGAAAGACGGCAAGAAGCGCAAGCGCAGCCGCAAGGAGAGCUACUCCAUCUACGUGUACAAGGUGCUGAAGCAGGUCCACUCCGACACCGGCAUCUCGUCCGCGGCCACGGGCGUCAUGAACUCCUUCCUCAACGACAUCUUCGAGCGCAUCGCGGGAGAGGCGUCCCGCCUGGCGCACUACAACAAGCGCUCCACCGUCACGUCCCGGAGAUCCAAACGGCCGUGCGCCUGCUGCUGCCCGGCGAGCUGGCCAAGCACGCCGUGUCCGAGGGCACCAAGGCGGUCACCAAGUACACCAGCUCCAAGUGAGUCCCUGCCGGGACCUGGCGCUCGCUCGCUCCCUCCCUCGGCGGGUCGCCGGCUGCCUUGACUCCAAAGGCUCUUUUCAGGGCUACUUAACCACCUCAGUGAAAGAAUCUUUCUUGUGUUGUCAGUCCCAGUUUGUGUUUUUGGCUUCACGUCUGGUUAACUUUAGGAGAGCACACAACUCCAUUAAGCACAGAUAACUAUUUUCUUUUCACAUAGGCAUUGCUAUAGGCUUACAUAGAUUGAUAGUGGUAUCUUACUAUGGUAUGGAUAGGCUGGGGCUUGCCUUAGAGGGCUGCUCUUGAAACUGUCUUUGGCCUGGUUACGUACCCGUGAAUAUGUGCCCAGCAGAUUGUUUCCUGGUGAGAAACGCAGUGUUAAUUUUGAUAAGCUCAUGUAAGAUCAAAUUGUGUAUAUGAACAAAGGUUGGGUCUGUUCUUCAGUGGUAAAAUGAAGGUAGAGAUUAAAUGCAUUGUAUGCUCUCAGAUGUGUACUUAAAAGGGAAUAGCUCGACUUUUAUAUAUGGUAUCGAGAAACUUCUUGAGGUUUUUAUAUCAUUGGUUCACAAACACGUGCCUACACCACGAUUCAUGUGAAAAUUCCUUAAGGAGGUAGAUGGAAGUUUGAUUUUGAUAACCAGGAAUUAACACCGAUAACACCUUCUGUGCUUUCUAUUUGAGAUACCCUCUAAUCUACCCAAUACCAUUAAAUGGUUUUUCCCCCAAGAAUUAUCACUCGGAAAAGCUUGUCCAGUUUAAGGGUUUGUUCCAUACAAUGGCAACAAAAUAUGAUUUCUGAAGCCAGAGUUUGGGAUCCCUGAAGAGUAGAAGGAACAUCAAUUUGUAAGGGAGGUUGAUUAGGUUCUCUGCUUUGGGAACAGUAGACUUGGAAUCACACAGCCUCAUUAACCUCAAAAGAUUAUACUGAUUGCUCUGGGGAUCGUAAAUCCUAGGCUGGUCACAAUAGAAGCGAGGAAAGCAAUUAGGAGGCUGUUGCAGUGUUGUGGGCUGGAGCAGUGAUUAAGUCUUAAAGUCUGCAGACCAGCAGCAUCAGCAUUACUUGAAGUUAUUAAAAAUGAAAAUUCCCAGGUUCCAUUAUUUGUGUUAAGAAGCUUUCUGGGUGAUGCUGAUGAAUGCUAAAGUAUGAAAAACACCGGAUAAAUGACAUGCUGGAGUGCAGUGGUAAUGGAAACAGAAAUGUUGGAUUUUAUCUUUGAGGUAGAAUUAAUAGGUGUGGCUGAGGAACAGGAUUUAGCUAACAGUGAAGCCCCUAGAUUUUUGGCUUGAGCAACUGUGUAGAUAGUGGUACUAUCAGGAUAGAAUACUGAGAGAAGAUACUCGUUGGGACACUGAAGGGAGAUCCAGAGUUCCGAUUGAAAUUUGAGAAGCUCUUUGCUAUUCAAGUGGAUAUGUGCAGUUGACAGUUUGAGAGAUGCAUCUAGGGUUCAGUAAGGACAACACAAGCAUGUCUUUAAGGUCUACCCGUGAACUGUGAACACAGCAAUGGAAAUGAUGGACAUCACCUUAAAGUAUUUUUCUAGACUUUAUUACUCAUGUGUUUGUCAUGAGGUAUAACUUAGUAGUUCAUAGUCCUAUAAUGUAUGUUAUUGACUAGGUAGCAUUUAGUUUUCUAAUUCUGUUUCUGUUAUAGUGCUGCCACAUGUUUCCCAGGAACGCAUUUUACCCACAGUUCUUAGGGUUGGCCUGAUUAGUUUAAUUGCUGUCUCAACCUGCUUCUUACUGUGAUUAGUUCAGGAAUCUAGAUCAAACUAAUUGGCAUUUAACAUUUCAGGAAGUGAACUAAGUAACAACUAACUCAGCAGGGGAGUGUAGUAUGCUAUUAUCUUUUGGGAAAGCAGCUUAUUUGUUUUCAAGAGGCAGCAGCAGGAUGGCCUGUCUUUAGGUAUGAAGGCAAGCAUGAUUAUAGACAAUAUGCAGAGGAGGGCACAGUGCGGAAGAAUCAGGGAACUGAGCCACUCAUGGAGUACAGCCAACCUUGGAUCCCUGCUGCACCUUUGGACUUCCAGUUAAGCCAAUUUGUCUGACAUAUUUACUUAUACCACUUUGAAUCUUGAAAUAUUUCAGGAAUAAUAAUUUCCUAGAUACAAGGAAAGACCUUUCAUGAAAGGUCUCAAAGAAGUCAAAUAGGGUCAAUUAGGACAGAGUUGCUCCAAUUACAUAUUUGGAACGAUGUCCAAAUGUUAAAAAUCAAUACCUGACUAAGGCUAAAGACUAAUAUUGCCAUCACAGGAAGAAUGUCCAGGGUUUUUUUUCAGAUGUGAAAUUUUAUUUAAAAUUUUUAAAUAAACUAAAUCAAAAAA